UGGGGAAUUUUGCGCAAUGGGCGAAAGCCUGACGCAGCAACGCCGCGUGAGUGAUGAAGGCUUUCGGGUCGUAAAGCUCUGUCGAGGGGAAAGAAGUGUAUUAUGGCUAAUACCCAUGAUACUUGACGGUACCCCUAAAG
rnacentral:rRNA from 1 species